UGGGGAAUCUUGCGCAAUGGUCUAACGACUGACGCAGCGACGCCGCGUGUGGGAGGACGCCUUUCGGGGUGUAAACCACUGUUGCCCGGGACGAACAGCAUCUUUCGAGAUGCCUGACGGUACCGGGUGAGGAAGCACCGGCUAACUCCGUGCCAGCAGCCGCGGUAAUACGGAGGGUGCGAGCGUUGUCCGGAAUCAUUGGGCGUAAAGGGCGCGUAGGUGGCCUGCUAAGCGUGCGGUGAAAGUCGGGGGCUCAACCCCCGAUCGGCCGUGCGAACUGGGAGGCUUGAGCACUGUAGAGGCAGGCGGAAUUCCGGGUGUAGCGGUGGAAUGCGUAGAGAUCCGGAAGAACACCGGUGGCGAAGGCGGCCUGCUGGGCAGUUUUGCUGACACUGAGGCGCGACAGCGUGGGGAGCAAACA
rnacentral:rRNA from 1 species